rnacentral:rRNA from 1 species
UUGAACGCUGGCGGCAGGCCUAACACAUGCAAGUCGAGCGCGAAAGUUCUUCGGAAUGAGUAAAGCGGCGGACGGGUGAGUAACGCGUGGGUAUCUGCCUAGUAGUGGGGGACAACAGCCGGAAACGGCUGCUAAUACCGCAUACGCCCUACGGGGGAAAGGGGGGGAUCGUCGGACCUCUCGCUAUUAGAUGAGCCCGCGUCGGAUUAGCUAGUUGGUAGGGUAAAGGCCUACCAAGGCUACGAUCCGUAACUGGUCUGAGAGGAUGAUCAGUCACACUGGAACUGAGACACGGUCCAGACUCCUACGGGAGGCAGCAGUGGGGAAUAUUGGACAAUGGGGGCAACCCUGAUCCAGCCAUGCCGCGUGUGUGAAGAAGGCCUUAGGGUUGUAAAGCACUUUCAGUGGGGAGAAAGGUUUGUCACCUAAUACGUGAUGAAAUUGAUGUUACCCACAGAAGAAGCACCGGCUAACUCCGUGCCAGCCGCCGCUGUAA